CAGUCGCCGCGGUAAUACGAAGGGUGCAAGCGUUACUCGGAAUUACUGGGCGUAAAGCGUGUGUAGGUGGUUGUUUAAGUCUGUCGUGAAAGCCCUGGGCUCAACCUGGGAAUUGCGAUGGAUACUGGGCGACUAGAGUGCGGUAGAGGAUAGUGGAAUUUCCGGUGUAGCAGUGAAAUGCGUAGAGAUCGGAAGGAACGUCUGUGGCGAAGGCGACUAUCUGGGCCAACACUGACACUGAGACACGAAAGCGUGGGGAGCAAACAGGAUUAGAUACCCGCGUAGUCCCUGUCUCUUAUAC
rnacentral:rRNA from 1 species